GACGAACGCUGGCGGCGUGCUUAACACAUGCAAGUCGAACGGUGAUGCUCCAGCUUGCUGGAGUGGAUCAGUGGCGAACGGGUGAGUAACACGUGAGCAACCUGCCCCAGACUCUGGAAUAAGCGCUGGAAACGGCGUCUAAUACUGGAUACGAAACUGGCCCGCAUGGGCAUGGUUUGGAAAGUUUUUCGGUUUGGGAUGGGCUCGCGGCCUAUCAGCUUGUUGGUGAGGUAAUGGCUCACCAAGGCGACGACGGGUAGCCGGCCUGAGAGGGCGACCGGCCACACUGGGACUGAGACACGGCCCAGACGCCUACGGGAGGCAGCAGUGGGGAAUAUUGCACAAUGGGCGAAAGCCUGAUGCAGCGACGCCGCGUGUGGGAUGACGGCCUUCGGGUUGUAAACCUCUUUCAGCUGGGAAGAAGCGAAAGUGACGGUACCUGCAGAAGAAGCACCGGCUAACUACGUG
rnacentral:rRNA from 1 species